AGUGAACGCUGGCGGCAGGCCUAACACAUGCAAGUCGAGCGGCAGCGCGGGGGCAACCCUGGCGGCGAGCGGCGGACGGGUGAGGAAUGCAUCGGAAUCUACCUCGUUGUGGGGGAUAACGUAGGGAAACUUACGCUAAUACCGCAUACGACCUACGGGUGAAAGUGGGGGACCUUCGGGCCUCACGCGAUGAGAUGAGCCGAUGCCGGAUUAGCUAGUUGGUGGGGUAAGAGCCUACCAAGGCGACGAUCAGUAUCUGGUUUGAGAGGACGAUCAGACACACUGGAACUGAGACACGGUCCAGACUCCUACGGGAGGCAGCAGUGGGGAAUUUUCCGCAAUGGGCGAAAGCCUGACGGAGCAAUACCGCGUGAAGGAAGACGGCCUAUGGGUUGUAAACUUCUUUUUUCAGGGAGGAAUUCAAUGACGUGUACCUGAAGAAUAAGCAUCGGCUAACUCCGUGCCAGCAGCCGCGGUAAGACGGAGGAUGCAAGUGUUAUCCGGAAUCACUGGGCGUAAAGCGUCUGUAGGUUGUU
rnacentral:rRNA from 1 species